rnacentral:rRNA from 1 species
UGCGUAGGUGGUUUCUUAAGUCAGAGGUGAAAGGCUACGGCUCAACCGUAGUAAGCCUUUGAAACUGGGAAACUUGAGUGCAGGAGAGGAGAGUGGAAUUCCUAGUGUAGCGGUGAAAUGCGUAGAUAUUAGGAGGAACACCAGUUGCGAAGGCGGCUCUCUGGACUGCAACUGACACUGAGGCACGAAAGCGUGGGGAGCAAACA